UACGAAGGGGGCUAGCGUUGUUCGGAAUUACUGGGCGUAAAGCGCACGUAGGCGGACUUUUAAGUCAGGGGUGAAAUCCCGGGGCUCAACCUCGGAACUGCCUUUGAUACUGGAAGUCUUUGAGUAUGGAAGAGGUAAGUGGAAUUGCGAGUGUAGAGGUGAAAUUCGUAGAUAUUCGCAGGAACACCAGUGGCGAAGGCGGCUUACUGGUCCAUU
rnacentral:rRNA from 1 species